rnacentral:rRNA from 1 species
UACGUAGGGUGCAAGCGUUGUCCGGAAUUAUUGGGCGUAAAGAGCUCGUAGGCGGUCUGUCGCGUCUGCUGUGAAAACUCGGGGCUUAACCCCGGGCCUGCAGUGGGUACGGGCAGACUAGAGUGCGGUAGGGGAGACUGGAAUUCCUGGUGUAGCGGUGAAAUGCGCAGAUAUCAGGAGGAACACCGGUGGCGAAGGCGGGAUCCUGGGCCAGUACUGACGCUGAGGAGCGAAAGCGUGGGGAGCAAACAGG